GACGAACGCUGGCGGCGUGCCUAAUACAUGCAAGUUGAGCGCUGAAGGUUGGUACUUGUACCAACUGGAUGAGCAGCGAACGGGUGAGUAACGCGUGGGGAAUCUGCCUUUGAGCGGGGGACAACAUUUGGAAACGAAUGCUAAUACCGCAUAAAAACUUUAAACACAAGUUUUAAGUUUGAAAGAUGCAAUUGCAUCACUCAAAGAUGAUCCCGCGUUGUAUUAGCUAGUUGGUGAGGUAAAGGCUCACCAAGGCGAUGAUACAUAGCCGACCUGAGAGGGUGAUCGGCCACAUUGGGACUGAGACACGGCCCAAACUCCUACGGGAGGCAGCAGUAGGGAAUCUUCGGCAAUAGACGAAAGUCUGACCGAGCAACGCCGCGUGAGUGAAGAAGGUUUUCGGAUCGUAAAACUCUGUUGGUAGAGAAGAACGUUGGUGAGAGUGGAAAGCUCAUCAAGUGACGGUAACUACCCGGAAAGGGACGGCUAACUACGUG
rnacentral:rRNA from 1 species